GACGAACGCUGGCGGCGUGCUUAACACAUGCAAGUCGAACGGAAAGGCCCUGCUUUUGUGGGGUGCUCGAGUGGCGAACGGGUGAGUAACACGUGAGUAACCUGCCCUUGACUUUGGGAUAACUUCAGGAAACUGGGGCUAAUACCGGAUAGGAGCUCCUGCUGCAUGGUGGGGGUUGGAAAGUUUCGGCGGUUGGGGAUGGACUCGCGGCUUAUCAGCUUGUUUGUGGGGUAGUGGCUUACCAAGGCUUUGACGGGUAGCCGGCCUGAGAGGGUGACCGGCCACAUUGGGACUGAGAUACGGACCAGACUGCUACGGGAGGCAGCAGUGGAGAAUAUUGCACAGUGGGCGGAAGUCUGAUGCAGCAACGCCGCGUGCGGGAUGACGGCCUUCGGGUUGUAAACCGCUUUCGAAUGUGACGAAGCGUGAGUGACGGUAAUGGGUAAAGAAGCAACGGCUAACUACGUG
rnacentral:rRNA from 1 species